rnacentral:rRNA from 1 species
UACGGAGGGUACAAGCGUUAUCCGGAUUCACUGGGUUUAAAGGGUGCGUAGGAGGGCAGGUAAGUCAGUGGUGAAAUCUCCGAGCUUAACUUGGAAACUGCCGUUGAUACUAUCUGUCUUGAAUAUUGUGGAGGUGAGCGGAAUAUGUCAUGUAGCGGUGAAAUGCUUAGAUAUGACAUAGAACACCAAUUGCGAAGGCAGCUCGCUACACAUAUAUUGACUCUGAGGCACGAAAGCGUGGGGAUCAAACAGG